AGACCCGAAACCCGGUGAUCUAGCCAUGGGCAGGUUGAAGGUUGGGUAACACUAACUGGAGGACCGAACCGACUAAUGUUGAAAAAUUAGCGGAUGACCUGUGGCUGGGGGUGAAAGGCCAAUCAAACCGGGAGAUAGCUGGUUCUCCCCGAAAGCUAUUUAGGUAGCGCCUCGUGAAUUCAUCUCCGGGGGUAGAGCACUGUUUCGGCUAGGGGGCCAUCCCGGCUUACCAACCCGAUGCAAACUGCGAAUACCGGAGAAUGUUAUCACGGGAGACACACGGCGGGUGCUAACGUCCGUCGUGAAGAGGGAAACAACCCAGACCGCCAGCUAAGGUCCCAAAGUCAUGGUUAAGUGGGAAACGAUGUGGGAAGGCCCAGACAGCCAGGAUGUUGGCUUAGAAGCAGCCAUCAUUUAAAGAAAGCGUAAUAGCUCACUGGUCGAGUCGGCCUGCGCGGAAGAUGUAACGGGGCUAAACCAUGCACCGAAGCUGCGGCAGCGAACGUAUCACCCAAGACAACUUUACGGAGUUGACGAUUGACGGAGCGAAGCGACGUCAAAGCGUUCAUUAAAGUCGAGUUGGCUUAGGGA
rnacentral:rRNA from 5 species